GAUGAACGCUAGCGGCAGGCCUAAUACAUGCAAGUCGGACGGGAUUGAGGAGCUUGCUUCUCAUGAGAGUGGCGCACGGGUGCGUAACACGUAUGUAACCUACCUUAAUCAGGGGGAUAGCCUCUCGAAAGAGAGAUUAACACCGCAUAACAUGAUGAGAUAGCAUUAUUUUAUCAUCAAAUAUUUAUAGGAUAAAGAUGGGCAUGCGGGACAUUAGCUAGUUGGCGGGGUAACGGCCCACCAAGGCGACGAUGUCUAGGGGAUCUGAGAGGAUGGCCCCCCACACUGGUACUGAGACACGGACCAGACUCCUACGGGAGGCAGCAGUAAGGAAUAUUGGUCAAUGGGUGCAAGCCUGAACCAGCCAUGCCGCGUGCAGGAAGACGGCCCUACGGGUUGUAAACUGCUUUUGUACGGGAAUAAACCUUGAUACGUGUAUCAAGCUGAAUGUACUGUAAGAAUAAGGAUCGGCUAACUCUGUGCCAGCCGCCGCCGUAA
rnacentral:rRNA from 1 species